rfam:Ochrobactrum intermedium 229E Contig296, whole genome shotgun sequence.
AAUAUCCGUCCUGGCUUGCUCCUCCUCCCAAAAGCCGGGGCCGAGCGCGAUACUCCUCUUCCCAAUCGCGCUUACUGAUCAAGCCCGCAACGCUCACCUCCUCCCGAGCCUUGCGGGCUUUUC